rnacentral:misc_RNA from 1 species
GAUGAAGAACGCAGCGAAAUGCGAUAAGUAGUGUGAAUUGCAGAAUUCAGUGAAUCAUCGAAUCUUUGAACGCACAUUGCGCCCGCCAGUAUUCUGGCGGGCAUGCCUGUUCGAGCGUCAUUUCAACCCUCAAGACCCCUUCGGGGGACUUGGUGUUGGGGACCGGCACAGGGGCCUGCCUGCUUGUCUUGCAGCGCCCUCGCCGCCCCCGAAAUGAAUUGGCGGCCUCGUCGCGGCCUCCCCUGCGUAGUAGCACAACCUCGCAACGGGAACGUGACGGCGGCCACUGCCGUAAAACAACCCCAAUUUUAUUAGAGUUGACCUCGAAUCAGGUAGGAAUACCCGCUGAACUUAAGCAUAUCAAUAAGCGGAGGA